GAUCAUGGCUCAGGAUGAACGCUAGCGGCAGGCCUAACACAUGCAAGUCGAGGGGCAGCAUAAACAGCUUGCUUGUUUGGUGGCGACCGGCGCACGGGUGCGUAACGCGUAUGCAACCUACCCUGUACUGGGGGAUAGCCCGGAGAAAUUCGGAUUAAGACCCCAUAGCACUUAAGAAUGGCAUCAUUCAUAAGUUAAAGGUUACGGUACAGGAUGGGCAUGCGUCCCAUUAGCUAGAUGGUAAGGUAACGGCUUACCAUGGCAACGAUGGGUAGGGGGCCUGAGAGGGUGGUCCCCCACACUGGUACUGAGACACGGACCAGACUCCUACGGGAGGCAGCAGUGAGGAAUAUUGGUCAAUGGGCGCAAGCCUGAACCAGCCAUGCCGCGUGCAGGAAGACGGUCCUAUGGAUUGUAAACCUCUUUUUUCAGGGAGGAACAAAAUGACGUGUACCUGAAGAAUAAGCAUCGGCUAACUCCGUG
rnacentral:rRNA from 1 species